rnacentral:ribozyme from 1 species
UGCCCAGGAACUCCUAGCCCUACCUCCUAGCGAUACUGGCCGGAGUACGAGUAACCUUAGGGAAGAUCGGGUAACCAAUUCCGGUGGGAACUUUGGUCGUAUGGUGAAUGGGAAGG